CCCUUAGAUGUUCGGGGCCGCACGCGCGCUACACUGAAGGAAUCAGCACGUCUUUCUCCUUGUCCGAAAGGACUGGGUAACCCGCUGAACCUCCUUCGUGCUAGGGAUUGGGGCUUGUAAUUCUUCCCCAUGAACGAGGAAUUCCCAGUAAGCGCGAGUCAUAAGCUCGCGUUGAUUACGUCCCUGCCCUUUGUACACACCGCCCGUCGCUACAACCGAUUGGAUGGUUUAGUGAGAUCCUCGGAUUGGUCCCGGCGCGGCCUCUGGUCGUGCCGGAGUGCCGAAAAGAAUGUCGAACUUGAUCAUCUAGAGGAAGUAAAAGUCGUAACA
rnacentral:rRNA from 1 species